rnacentral:rRNA from 1 species
AUUGAACGCUGGCGGCAUGCUUUACACAUGCAAGUCGAACGGUAACAGGGAGCUUGCUCCGCUGACGAGUGGCGAACGGGUGAGUAAUGCGUCGGAACGUGCCGAGUAGUGGGGGAUAACGCAUCGAAAGGUGUGCUAAUACCGCAUACGUACUGAGGUAGAAAGUGGGGGACCUUCGGGCCUCACGCUAUUCGAGCGGCCGACGUCUGAUUAGCUAGUUGGUGAGGUAAAGGCUCACCAAGGCGACGAGCAGUAGCGGGUCGGAGAGGAUGAUCCGCCACACUGGGACUGAGACACGGCCCAGACUCCUACGGGAGGCAGCAGUGGGGAAUGUUGGACAAUGGGCGCAAGCCUGAUCCAGCCAUGCCGCAUGUCGGAAGAAGGCCUUCGGGUUGUAAAGGACUUUUGUCCGGGAGCAAAUGCUGGUGGCUAACAUCCACCGGAGCUGAGAGUACCGGAAGAAAAAGCACCGGCUAACUACGUGCCAGCAGCCGCGGUAAUAC